GCCCGGUUCAAAGAUGGCGGCGCCCUGAGUGGCACCUGAGGGUGUUGCUUGUUGUAUGCUACACUAAGCCCAAUGAGAAGAAGGGGCACUGUGCUCUUUUUGCAACAAUAGCCUUGGAAGCUGUUCCACCUCUCGGCCUGGCUGGACUUCUCCUGAGUUUCAGAGGGUCUCCCACAGAACACCUUCACCUGUUUUACAACCACUGUGACAGACAGACUGAGAUGUAA
rnacentral:lncRNA from 1 species